rnacentral:rRNA from 1 species
AGAGAGAGACAUGCGCGCAUAUCAAUAAGCGGAGGAAAAGAAACUAACUAGGAUUCCCUCAGUAACGGCGAGUGAAGCGGGAAGAGCUCAAAUUUGAAAUCUUCAAGGUUCUACCUUGACGAAUUGUAGUUUAAAGAAGUGUUUUCUGUUGGAGUUUUGGUAAAAGUUCUUUGGAAUAGGACAUCAUAGAGGGUGAGAAUCCCGUAUUUGACCAUUAUUUCCAGCUUUGUGAUACACUUUCAAAGAGUCGGAUUGUUUGGGAAUGCAGUCCAAAAUGGGUGGUAAAUUUCAUCUAAAGCUAAAUACUGGCGAGAGACCGAUAGCGAACAAGUACCGUGAGGGAAAGAUGAAAAGAACUUUGAAAAGAGAGUUAAACAGUACGUGAAAUUGUCAAAAGGGGAAGCGUUUGACACCAGUGUUGUUUUUCUGAAAAUCAAUUAAAGAACUGUUUAUGCUAAGUUGUUUAGACUUUAUCAGCUAUCUGUUUAGUUUUGAGCUUUUCUUUAAUGCACUUUUCAGUUAACAGGUCAACAUCAAUUUCUUUUGCUGUAAAAAAGCUUGAGGAAGGUGGCUUGAGAUUCGUCUUAAGUGUUUAUAGCCUCUUGCCUAUGCAGUCGGAGAGAUUGAGGUCUGCAGCGUAGAUCCUUCGGGGCUAAAUGCAUUUGUGCUAAGUUAUAGCAUUUUAUAGACAACUUGUUGACUAUGAUUUGUCUUGUAGCUUACUCGCUUAUGUUAUUUUACCUACGCUUAGGAUGUUGAUGUGAUACUGCGAGCA